rnacentral:tRNA from 1 species
GGAGAGUUCGCAUAGCGGUCUAGUGCGCACGCUUGGAAAGCGUGUGUGGGGAAACUCACCGAGGGUUCGAAUCCCUCACUCUCCGCCA